rnacentral:rRNA from 1 species
UUCUUAUAGAAUUCAUUAUAAGUAAAAUCUGCUAAAUGACCUUUUUAAUAGCCGCAAUUUAUUUGUGCUAAGGUAGCAUAAUCACUUGCCUUUUAAUUAAAGGAUAGAAUGAAUGAUAUUACAUUUAUAUUAAUUUCCCAAAAUAAUAUUUCUAACUUUCACUUAAAGUAAAAAUUCUUUAAUUUUACAGAAAGACGACAAGACCCUAUUGAACUUUACUUUAGUUAAGCUGGGGUAGCUAAUUAAUUCACAUUUUAAAUACAAAUCAACAAAACGACCUAAUUUAAUUCAUCUUACGAUCAAGUUACCAUAGGGAUAACAGCGUAAUUUUCUCAAAAAGCUCUUAUUCAAGAGAAAGAUUGCGACCUCGAUGUUGAAUUAUCUUCCUAUUUGAUGCAACAACCAAAUAAGGUGGUCUGUUCGACCAUUAAAUUUUUACAU